GUGGGGAAUAUUGGGCAAUGGGGGAAACCCUGACCCAGCAACGCCGCGUGAAGGAAGAAGGUUUUCGGAUCGUAAACUUCUAUCCUUGGUGAAGAUAAUGACGGUAGCCAAGAAGGAAGCCCCGGCUAACUACGUGCCAGCAGCCGCGGUAAUACGUAGGGGGCAAGCGUUGUCCGGAAUGAUUGGGCGUAAAGGGCGCGUAGGCGGCCUGGUAAGUCUGGAGUGAAAGUCCUGCUUUUAAGGUGGGAAUUGCUUUGGAUACUGUCGGGCUUGAGUGCAGGAGAGGUAAGCGUAAUUCCCGGUGUAGCGGUGAAAUGCGUAGAGAUCGGGAGGAACACUAGUGGCGAAGGCGGCUUACUGGACUGUAACUGACGCUGAGGCGCGAAAGUGUGGGGAGCAAACAGGAUUAGAAACCCGUGUAGUCC
rnacentral:rRNA from 1 species